rnacentral:rRNA from 1 species
GACGAACGCUGGCGGCGUGCUUAACACAUGCAAGUCGAGCGGAAAGGCCCUUCGGGGUACUCGAGCGGCGAACGGGUGAGUAACACGUGAGUAAUCUGCCCUUGGCUUUGGGAUAACUACCGGAAACGGUGGCUAAUACCGGAUACGACAACCGUCUGCAUGGGCUGGUUGUGGAAAGUUUUUUCGGCCAGGGAUGUGCUCGCGGCCUAUCAGCUUGUUGGUGGGGUAAUGGCCUACCAAGGCUUCGACGGGUAGCCGGCCUGAGAGGGUGACCGGCCACACUGGGACUGAGACACGGCCCAGACUCCUACGGGAGGCAGCAGUGGGGAAUAUUGGACAAUGGGCGGGAGCCUGAUCCAGCAACGCCGCGUGAGGGAUGACGGCCUUCGGGUUGUAAACCUCUUUCAGUACCGACGAAGCGCCGAUGAUGGUGGUGACGGUAGGUACAGAAGAAGCACCGGCCAACUACGUG